rnacentral:rRNA from 1 species
AUUGAACGCUGGCGGCAUGCCUUACACAUGCAAGUCGAACGGCAGCACGGGAGCAAUCCUGGUGGCGAGUGGCGAACGGGUGAGUAAUAUAUCGGAACGUGCCCGGUCGUGGGGGAUAACGUAGCGAAAGCUACGCUAAUACCGCAUACGAUCUACGGAUGAAAGCGGGGGAUCGCAAGACCUCGCGCGAUUGGAGCGGCCGAUAUCAGAUUAGGUAGUUGGUGAGGUAAAGGCUCACCAAGCCGACGAUCUGUAGCUGGUCUGAGAGGACGACCAGCCACACUGGGACUGAGACACGGCCCAGACUCCUACGGGAGGCAGCAGUGGGGAAUUUGGACAAUGGGCGCAAGCCUGAUCCAGCAAUGCCGC